GGUAAAUGGCGCUCUGAGUACUUUCUGUCUCAGUCCGGCUGGCCGCUCACGCGUCGGGCCCCCAUUUACUCUCGUUACUGAGGAGACACGGCUCCAGUUUUGACCCGACUACGGUUGUUUUCUUCGUGUGUACCGCGAAAUGCUGAUGACGUCCGGUUCCGCGCAGUUUUUUUCCUAUUUCGUUUCCAACCACAGUUGUGCGGUUCACAGAUUUUUCCCUUGGGAUGUGUUUUCCAUACCUCCAAGCCCACUCUCAGAGCCUUGGGGCCCCAUAAAACUUCAUGCGCAGCUGCUUUCUGAUGUCCACCUUAAUGCCAGAAAUGAGCGGAGUUUCCCUUUGUUGUGCAAAAUGACUGUGUCCUUGAGGGAUGUUUGGAUGCUCUUGGUAAACCGGAAUCAGCCAGAAGCAUAUCCGGUGUUAGCCUUGUUGUGUCAUCAACAUUACAACAGUGAGGAAACCCACAUAUUCCAAUGAAAGAGGAAAACUUAAAGAAGAAGUUUCCAGUGUAUUUUCUUUGAGAUAUAUUUAUUCCUAUGACCUCAGAAGAUCAGCUUUUACCGUCCAAGGUUCACUUUGCCUAAAAGCUGAUUGUUCCUGUGGAAACAGUAGCAUCGGAUGACCCUACAAACAAAGCAUUAUGACAUCAUCAGAGCCAACAACCUGGCAUGACAGAUACUAAUAAGGAAAAAAGAGGUUACAAGAAUUCUGACACUCAUCACAGUGGAUCCAAUAUCUGGUCCCUUGGGUUUCAUAUAUGUUAGAAGUAUCUUCUCAGGAGGGAAAAGUCAAUGCCAGUCAUAUCCUUUCUAGCUAUUAGAAAUGUCCAUCAGCUUACGAGGAGAUUCUCCCUCAUCUCACAAACUACCUGCAUCUCCACUUCCCUGGAAGAAAAAAAAAAUCUGGACAUACCCAAGCUGUGUAUGUGCCUGAGAUCUUCCCUUCCAAGGUAAAGAGAGAGCCUGAGACAGGUCUAAAUUAGCAUCUGGACUUUCUGCUAGUAAAGAAAAGGAAAUAUGGGAAACUAAAUAGUAACAUUAAAGGACCCACAAAGGGACUACUGGGUAAGUGCUAUAAUGGAUAAUGUAAUGUGAUUUAUGAAUGCUUUUGUUCUAGUGAUUUAUUAAACUGGGAAGUCAGAAGCAGUCCUGUGAACAUUUGUUUGUUGAAGCAUGAAAAGGCAGAAUUGAUGAGUCCUUGCUUGAGUCUAUGCCUCCACCCAGUAGUUUGUUCUUAGUCUCCUAGGGGCUGAUCUCAGCAGAGAAAUGGAGACAGUUCAGUCACCAACAGUUUGUUACUGGAUUUUGGAAAAGGUACCAAAGUAAGAAUCCAAGGCUUGUAUUCUUAUCUUAGCUCUGUGAUUAACAAGCUUAGGUAAGGCUUCUAAUCUUUCUGGGUUUCUUUCCUUAUCAAUAAAAUGCGCAAGUCAGACUGCAUAAUCUUUAUGGUUUCUUCCAAAUUUCAAAUUCCAUGCAUCUAUUAAAGAGAAUCAAAAUUGUGCAUGAUUUGUCUAAAAUACCAUGUUAAAAAGUCUAAGAUAAAAUGAAAUGGGAAUUACAUACCAUUUUGAGUUUAAAAAUCACUUUUGUAAAUAUAUUAAGGAAUGAACUUGGUUUUAUUGCAAUUUAUGUAGAAAUACUGGGAAGUAGAGGGGGCUUUGAUUAACAAUUUUAAAAUGCUGAUGCAAUCCAGUCGAAAUAUAGAUGGGAUUUCAUAAAGUAGCAAAAAUUCUAUAUUCAUAAUUCAGAGUGAUAACAAAUGCAUAUCUAUAAAGCAAAAGUGUGUUUUUAAAAGUAAUUUUAAAUCCCAGUCAUUUCAUUUAAGUCUUCUAAUAAAGGAUGAAGAAGAUGAACAAAAUAACAAUGGUUUGUAAGUGUGACUUAUUUUGAGUGUGACUUAUUCUACGUGUCAAAAAUAGUUGAUUUAUAUACACAUAUAGUUUGCAAAGAAAACUGUGAAUCAGGAAAACUUUUACUUUAUUCCCCAUCUUUGCCCUUCUCUAGCAAGAGUUCUUUUACCCAUGUCUGCAGCCCUUGAUAUUCCCUGUUUAUUUCUCACCUAAACCUCUUACCAAACAUGUUCAUAGCAAGCC
rnacentral:lncRNA from 1 species